UCCUAGUGCCAUUCAGCAGGGCAGAGAAAGUUGGUCACUCGGGAGUAGGGGUAGUGGCCCAGGAUAGGUGUCUCCCCUGAAGAGGGCGAGGAGGGUAUUCAUGAUUGAGGACAGCGUGGUGUAUCAGACAGCCUAAGUAGAUAAGAAGGGCUUCCAGGAGAAUCUCUCACAGUAAUAAACACAGCCCAGAUUGCCUCUUCUAGAUACUAUUCUCCACUAAAAGAAACCAGGGCUUCUUGGAGAGUUUCCAAGAAUUCCAGGAUUCAAGUCCUGAUUCCAGGACUGAGGUGAACAGAAGUAACGUUUGCUGAAUGCCCUGCCGUUUAGAGUACCCAAACCACAAGCUCUUAUCCCAAAGUGCCAACAAAGAAAACUACAACUCAUCUGAGAGGCUGCAGUUUUCUGAAGGAGCCAACAUUCAGAGGGAAGGUCAACACAAAUGAAUAGAACAUACGCCCAGAGAAAUAGCACUGCUGCAGGAGGAAGACAGUAUCUUGACUCUGGAAGUAAUAGGAGCACAAAGGAUAGAUUCCAGGGUAGCACACAAACUGCUCUGAAGAGUAAAAGACCAUGAUUUCUGAACAAAACAAUUCGAUAGAUGAAUGGAAGGACACAGUGGAGCCCAAAUUGGAAGACCAAGUGCAGGAACACACACCUACCCUGAUGCAAACAAUCUCCCUGCUUCUUUACACUUACUUAAGGGCUUCCCUUCUUUCUGCCACUCUGGCUUCUUUCUGCCACUCUGGCAGAAACAUCUGUUCCUGUCUUAGGUCAACCCUGCCACUUGUGAGUUAGAUACUCGUUAGACUAAUAGAGGCAUUGCUCCAACAGUUGUCUCCAUCUGGCUGUUGUACAAUCUUUAUUUAUUUAUUUAUUUAUUUACUUAUUUACUUACUUACUUACUUACUUAU